rnacentral:rRNA from 1 species
CCUACGGGAGACAGCAGUGAGGAAUAUUGGUCAAUGGACGAGAGUCUGAACCAGCCAAGUAGCGUGAAGGAUGACUGCCCUAUGGGUUGUAAACUUCUUUUAUAUGGGAAUAAAACGUUCCACGUGUGGGAUUUUGUAUGUACCAUAUGAAUAAGGAUCGGCUAACUCCGUGCCAGCAGCCGCGGUAAUACGGAGGAUCCGAGCGUUAUCCGGAUUUAUUGGGUUUAAAGGGAGCGUAGGUGGAUUGUUAAGUCAGUUGUGAAAGUUUGCGGCUCAACCGUAAAAUUGCAGUUGAAACUGGCAGUCUUGAGUACAGUAGAGGUGGGCGGAAUGCGUGGUGUAGCGGUGAAAUGCUUAGAUAUCACGAAGAACUCCGAUUGCGAAGGCAGUUCACUGGACUGCAACUGACACUGAGGCUCGAAAGUGUGGGUAUCAAACAGGAUUAGAUACCCUUGUAGUC